AAAAGAAGUUCAAGAAAUGGUCAGACAGGCCACUUCCUGUAAAGGAAUCUCUCAGGUUUUGACCUGCCAUUUGAGUUCUGUUAUACUCACAGACACCAUUCAAACAGUUUUAGAAAAUGUAGGGUGUUUUCUAUCCAUAUGUAAUAAGUAUAUGCAUAUUCUAGUUACUGGGUAGGAGUGGUAACCAGAUUAAAUCGGGUAUGUUUUUUAUCCUGCCGUGUCAAUACUGCCCCCUAUCCUAAACAGGAUAUACAGUAGCAGUAGCGUAUGUGGUGAGUGUGAAUGUGUGUGUGUGUGUGAAUGUGUACGUGUGUGGCGUCAGUAUUCAUGUGUGCGCAUGUUGUGUGUGUGGGCAUACAGUAUGUAGUGUGUGUGUGUGUGUGUGUGUGUGUGUGUGUGUGUGUGUGUGUGUGUGUGUGUGUGUGUGUGUGUGUGUGUGUGUGUGUGUGUGUGUGUUGGGAUGUCAGUGUAAGUGUGUGUGGGUAGAGUCCAGUGUGUGUGCAUAGUCAGCGCAAGAGAGUUAGUGCAAAAAAGGUUCAAUGCAGUUACUUUUCUCAGCCAUUCGAAAUCAUGAAUUACCAUUAUGUCAAUAGAAAACAGAAUUUCAAUAUUGAAACAAUGUUGCAAAUGUCGAGAGACAACAGCAAGGUUUAUACAAAUCUCUGCUGUUGAAAACCUAAUGCUCAUUUAAAAGAAAUGUGAAAUAAGUGUCUAGAUGCUUUUUAUAGUGGAGUUCAAGUUUACAAAUUGCCUUGCUGGGCUGAUGAGACAGUGGAUUGCGCAGUCAGAUGGAACAGAGUAAAUAGUCAUUUUAACGUCAUAGAUUUAGGCGGUGGUAACUUGUGGAACAGACACCGGCUGGAAUGCGGUUUUAACCAAUACGCAUCCAGGAUUAGACCAACCCAUUGUAUAAUUGUGAAUAAUCACCAGCAGUGGAAAUAAAUAAUAUGCCAACAAAUAUUACUGGACUAACAAACUGACUGACUAACUUUUUCAGAAACUUCAGUAUCCAGUGGCCUUGGGUAGCAGCAGAUUGUUUCAUCUUCUUUAUCCUGUGCCAAACACAUUUAUCCAUGGGGCGGCAGGUAGCCUAGUGGUUAGCGCGUUUUGCCAGUAACCUGAAAAGUUGCUAGCUCUCGAUUGGAUCAUUCUAGAUAGAUGACGACUAAACUGCUUUUAUUAACUCAUUUUAUUAACACAUACCUUGUUUUCCCAUUAACAUGUGUGUUCGCUCUCUCAUGAGGCAGGCACGCAGGAGAGGAGGUUUUCCACUAGAUAACACAGUCACAAAGUCAGAUUCCACUAUGAUUCCACAGACCGGAGAGGAGCGUGAGCGCAGAGUGCUGAGUUAAACAAUGAGGUGUUAGUGCAACUACACAUAGCUGUUGAGAGGUGUGGUUGAUGAGGCAUGUAGCUGUAGCAAAGGAGACCUGACAAGUGAAUCAAACUGUCGCAUUGAGCGUGGGUGGUUACAGCGUGAAAUCCCAGGGAUAGGGUUAUAUUCACUAGACAAAACAGAGGCAAACGGGCUGAAAUUGGGGGAGGUACUAUGUCAACUUAACCCUCCAGAUGAGCUUCAAUGCCAUACAACUCUCCUUCCGUGGCCUCCAACUGCUCUUAAAUACAAGUAAAACUAAAUGCAUGCUCUUCAACCGAUCGCUGCCCGCACCUGCCCGCCUGUCCAACAUCACUACUCUGGAUGGUUCUGACUUAGAAUAUGUGGACAACUACAAAUACCUAGGUGUCUGGUUAGACUGUAAACUCUCCUUCCAGACUCACAUCAAACAUCUCAAAUCCAAAAUUACAUCUAGAAUUGGCUUCCUAUUUCGCAACAAAGCAUCCUUCACUCAUGCUGCCAAACAUACCCUCGUAAAACUGACCAUCCUACCGAUCCUCGACUUCGGCGAUGUCAUUUACAAAAUAGCCUCCAAUACCCUGCUCAAUAAACUGGAUGCAGUCUAUCACAGUGCCAUCCGUUUUGUCACCAAAGCCCCAUAUAUUACCCACCACUGCGACCUGUACACUCUCGUUGGCUGGCCCUCGCUUCGUACUCGUCGCCAAACCCACUGGUUCCAGGUCAUCUACAAGACCCUGCUAGGUAAAGUCCCCCCCUCAUCUCAGCAGGUAUAUCUCUCUGGUCACCCCCAAAGCCAAUUUCUCCUUUGGCCGUCUCUCCUUCCAGUUCUCUGCUGCCAAUGACUGGAACGAACUACAAAAAUAUCUGAAACUGGAAACACUUAUCUCCCUCACUAGCUUUAAGCACCAGCUGUCAGAUCAGCUCACAGAUCACUGCAACAGUACAUAGCCCAUCUAUAAUUUAGCCUAAACAACUACCGCUUCCCCUACUGUAUUUAUUUAUUUUGCUCCUUUGCACCCCAUUAUUUCUAUUUCUACUUUGCACUUUCUUCCACUACAAAUCUACCAUUCCAGUGUUUUACUUGCUAUAUUGUACUUACUUUGCGACCAUGGCCUUUUUUGCCUUUACCUCCCUUAUCUCACCUCAUUUGCUCACAUUGUAUAUAGACUUAUUUUUCCUACUGUAUUAUUGACUGUAUGUUUGUUUUACUCCAUGUGUAACUCUGUGUUGUUGUAUGUGUUGAACUGCUUUGCUUUUUCUUGGCCAGGUCGCAAUUGUAACUGAGAACUUGUUCUCAACUUGCCUACCUGGUUAAAUAAAGCUGAAAUAAAUAAAUAAAUAAAAACUUGUCCAAUAAGAAGCACCUGCUUUCUUUUCCGUUUCUGUGACUUGAACUAAUGAAUAUGUCUGAUAAAAGUGUUCGGUGCUGCUGCUUUGAAAGUUUUGUGGCGUCUCCACACCAGAUUGAAAAGUAUUGCCGAAAAUGCUGUCUCGCCAUACAUUUUCCGGUGGCUCUGGUCCUGAGAUUUGGGAAUGCUCCAUGUAUUUCUAAUUUACUCCGGCUUCUUUUACUUAAACUCAAUGUUUUGAAUGUUUUCACUACAUAUGCUUUCAGCCCUAGUAUUUUGUAAUAAUUAACACAUAUUCCUAAUAAUAUCAUAGGGAAUAAUAAAAAAAAUAGCUAACAAGCUUGUUCAUUAGAAGUAAUGUAUUCCGAUCUAGUGGGAACCCUAUAUGUUUGGUCCACUAUAUUUCGUCUCCGCACACCUCCCCCCUCCCUAUCCACCCCCCAAAAUGAGACUCUCUAGUGGCUGCCCCCCCCCCAAAAAAAUCCCUUAUCUCAAUGCAAGGAGGCUCGCACCAUCACUCUUUACUCACUGAAUAUUUAUUUCAGAAUGCAGUAUUUGCUAUCAAGGUCAAGCAGCAGGCUGCUACCUUCACAGAGGAGUCAUUUGCCUCCAGAGAGAGUCACUUUUUGGUGCUUUUAUCUGCCAACAUUUUUCUCACCGAGCCCUGGGCAGGAAUGGAACCAAGCUAAAGUGACAGAGUUGGUGUCAAUAAAGUGAACACAGGCAACUUUGUUUCUUUGAAACUUUGACAUCGACGUAGCCUCAGAUGUAAACAUUGCUUGUUGUUUUUUCUCCUCCACUUAUUAAAUGUAAAUGUUUUCUAUCUUUUUCUAAAUCACUCAACGCAGAUACAAUCCAUUUCUAACAUAAAGCAAAAAUGCAAAGACAUCUACAUGGUCGUGACUUGUCAUGACAGGCUGUGAAAAUCUGUUUAAGGAUUAUCUCCACCUGUGUAAUAGCCGUCCAUAAGCUCCUGUUUAUCUGGAGGCAUGGGGAAAUUAUUUAAGUUUUGACAUUUCUCACACAGUGCUGUUCUGCAGAUGUGUGAGGUGUGUGUAUGUGUACAUCAAUAUCACUGCAUGUGUGUUUGUGUGUCUGCAUGCAUGCAUACUUGCAUAUUUAGGUCUGUUUAUGUAUUUGUGUGUGUGUGUGCAUGUCCAUAUGUGCAUAGGUGUGUGUUUAUGUGUAUCCAAUUCAGUCCCAAUGCUCCAGUCCACUCAUCCUUUGGCAGUUGUGGGGGAAUUUAAUAGACAGAGGAAAAAAAACAAGACAGAAAAUCCAGAGCCAUGGCAAUUGUCUACACGUGUUAGAUAAAUGGACCCUGACUGCCAAACCUCGUUAGAAUGCCUCGGUUGACAAAAGCCUACCUGAAAUCGGCCGGCACUCGCCCAGCCACUGACAGCUGACAGGGCAGAACAUAAUCAGCACAAACUGAAUGUACCAACGUCCAGUUCAAUGAAUCUAGCUGGGUGUUAGGUCAGUGGUCUGAAAACCCACAUGGAACUGUGACCUUAAUUUAAUCAUUGCAGAUAGAUUUUCUGCAUUGAUUGGAUGGAGUGGACACUUGAUUUCAGAAUAGUCUGUUGCAAAAGUGCAGGGCGGAAAAUCUACCUGCAAUUCUGUCCUCUCUUCAACUCAGUGUUGUUGUGAUUAGUCCUUUUGUAAUCAUGUGAGAGAACUAAAAUGAAGUGUAAUUGGUGGAGAUGUAUAAUGCAGAACCUUUCACCCAAUGAACAUUGCGUUGAGGCAUUAGGAGAGACCUGGUUGUCAACCUCUGAAAGGACUUUGAUGAGAAAACAGGCUCAUGGCUACAGGGACUGUUACAGUGUUAUUCAAAUGGCUGUUGAUCCCUCUCAAUCAUGCACAAAGCUAAUCCUUAUAUCAUACUGUACUCCAGUUUAUAGAGCAGAUUAAUCUCAUUGGCUACUAUACUCAUAAAAAAACAUAUCACAUUCUGUACUACACAUGUCACAACCUUUCCUCUCCCUCUGCCACAGCUGUGUAGAUCUGUAGAUCUGUCCUUGCUAGCAAGAGGAGCCUCUGCUGCCACUCGUAUUAAUUGUCAGACGCUGCUCCAGGGGCCAGAGAACCAGAGCUUGGCUCAUUGAAUUACAGACAGCAGCCUUUAUUCUCCUGCCCAGGAGGCGUCGGUGGUGUAAUACAACAAAGCAAGGGCCAUGCACCAGUAGCAGCAUCACUCCACAAUGCCAGGCUAGUUUGACAUUAGCGGUAGCGUUAGCGUGACACUGUUUCAUUAGGUUGCUGCCCCCACAUGUCAGCCCUCGGCAGCUCUGAGGCUAGUUGAAACUAGCGGCUCGCAGGCUAACUGACACACUCUGUGCAUAUUAAUGUCAGAGGUGAUGAAUAUAAAAAGAGGGAAACAUAGAAAAUAAUUUGCUGCAAUAGUAUGCAAUAGUUUCUGUACCAGCCCUUUGUAGUGAAUUGGUAAGCUUUUAAUAGAACAUUUGCAUUGUGAGUACCACAAAAAGGUGUCCUAUAGCUGACAGAUGACUAUUUUCUUGUUGUAGUUCACUGAAGAUCAAAGUUAUGACUAACUAACUACAAUGUUAGAUAUAAUUCUGGUUUUAGUCAAAUUGACUGAUUUCAUGCUUGAUCAUGAUAGUAAUCAAAUCAAAUGUUAUUAGUCACAUGCGCCAAAUACAACAGGUGUAGACCUUACAGUGAAAUGCUUACUUACGAGCCCCUAACCAACAAUGCAGUUUCAAACAAAUGCGGAUAAGAGAUAAAAGUAACAAGUAAUUAAGGAGCAGCAGUAAAAUAACAAUAGCGAGACUAUAUACAGGGGGGUACCGAUACAGUGUCAAUGUGUGGGGGCACCGGUUAGUUGAGGUUGUAUGUACAUGUAGGUAGAGUUUUUAAAGUGACUAUGCAUAGAUGACAAAAGAGAGUAGCAUUGCUGUAAAGAGGGGUUGGGGGGGCACUGCAAAUAGUCUGGGUAGCCAUUUGACUAGAUGUUCAGGAGUGUUAUGGCUUGGGGGUAGAAGCUGUUUAGAACCCUCUUGGACCUAGACUUGGCGCUCCGGUAUGGCUUGUCGUGUGGUAGCAGAGGGAACAGUCUAUAACUAGAGUGGCUGGAGUCCUUGACAAUUUUUAGGGCCUUCCUCUG
rnacentral:lncRNA from 1 species